rnacentral:tRNA from 1 species
GCCGAAGUAGCUCAGUUGGUAGAGCAGCUGAUUCGUAAUCAGCAGGUCGUCGGUUCAAGUCCGACUUUCGGCUCCA